rnacentral:tRNA from 2 species
GGAAGGGUGGCAGAGCGGUCGAAUGCGCCGGUCUUGAAAACCGGAAGGGCCUCGCGGCCCUCGGGGGUUCGAAUCCCUCCCCUUCCGCCA